GUAGUCCACGCCGUAAACGGUGGGUGCUAGGUGUGAGCGGUAUUCCACGCCGUUCGUGCCGCAGCUAACGCAUUAAGCACCCCGCCUGGGGAGUACGGCCGCAAGGCUAAAACUCAAAGGAAUUGACGGGGGCCCGCACAAGCAGCGGAGCAUGUGGCUUAAUUCGACGCAACGCGAAGAACCUUACCAAGGCUUGACAUGCAGGGAAAUCCUCCAGAGAUGGGGGGUCCGCAAGGGUCCUGCACAGGUGGUGCAUGGUUGUCGUCAGCUCGUGUCGUGAGAUGUUGGGUUAAGUCCCGCAACGAGCGCAACCCUCGUUCUAUGUUGCCAGCGCGUGAUGGCGGGGACUCAUAGGAGACUGCCGGGGUCAACUCGGA
rnacentral:rRNA from 1 species